UCCGCCCGCUGGCGGCGUGCUUAACACAUGCAAGUCGAACGAUGAACCCGGAGCUUGCUCUGGGGGAUUAGUGGCGAACGGGUGAGUAACACGUGAGUAACCUGCCCUGGACUCUGGGAUAAGCGUUGGAAACGACGUCUAAUACCGGAUAGGACCUUGGAUCGCAUGAUCUGGGGUGGAAAGUUUUUUCGGUCUGGGAUGGACUCGCGGCCUAUCAGCUUGUUGGUGAGGUAAUGGCUCACCAAGGCGUCGACGGGUAGCCGGCCUGAGAGGGUGACCGGCCACACUGGGACUGAGACACGGCCCAGACUCCUACGGGAGGCAGCAGUGGGGAAUAUUGCACAAUGGGCGAAAGCCUGAUGCAGCAACGCCGCGUGCGGGAUGACGGCCUUCGGGUUGUAAACCGCUUUUAGUAGGGAAGAAGGGCUUCGGCUUGACGGUACCUGCAGAAAAAGGACCGGCUAACUACGUG
rnacentral:rRNA from 1 species